rnacentral:miRNA from 1 species
AAACAAUUUACGAAGAUCCGGCGGCCAAGAUGUUUUUAAAGUAUUGAAUACCAAUAAUAUUUUAAAAACAUCUUGGCCGCCGGAUCUUCGUAAAUUGUU